AGCUCAGUGAUACAGCACUUGCCUAGCAUGCAAGAAACCCUGGGUUCAAUCCCCAG
rnacentral:tRNA from 1 species